AGUUGACUACACAUUUAUACAUAUAACCAUGGCAAUCAUUUGCGUAGUGAUUAAAAAAUAAAAUCUGGCAUCACAGCUCAAUAGAACAGCUGUGUUUUCAUUCAUCUCUAAAAAAACAAAAAAAUAGCAAUUUGUUUAACAUAGACAAUGGAAAGGUAACUUAAAAGAAGUGACCCAAAUGAUUUAGAUAUUGACGAAGUUAGCAGUGACUCCGAAGAAAGCACGUGCCGGCCCAGCACCAGUAAAAAAAAAUAUACCCAAAGACCCAGAAAAAGCUGGUUUAAUGAUCCGAGACUAUGCAAGUGGAUUGUCGACCUAAAUGAUCAGGAGGUAAAGUGUAAAUACUGCCAUUGUACUUUAAAACCAAAACAAAGUACACUUCUUACUCAUGGAAAAACUUCUAAGCAUUUAGCAACAGCAUCGCCUUUCACAAAAAACAAUCAAAAAACACUCGAUUUUCACCAACUAAACAGCAAUUCCAAAGUAAAAGCAGCAGAAUUAUUAGAAGCUUUAUAUGUAAUGGUACACACCACGAUAAGGUCAGCCGAUCAUUUAGUCCGUUUACAAAAAUAUAUAUUUAUUGAUAGCAAGGUCGCCGUUGGCAUGACAUUGGGUCGAACAAAGUUUACUGCCCUCAUUAAGUCAAUUUUGGCUCCCCAUUUUCAACACCUAUUGGCUGAAGAUAUUAGUGACAACUUAACUUACAGACAUAACUAUUGAUAAGUAUUUGGGUAUAGUAAUACGUUAUUACAGUAAGUCUGCCAAACAAAUUGUAAACACAUUUUUAAACUUAAGUGCACUUGAUGACGCGUCAGCCAAUGGAAUAUUUAAAGUUAUUAAGGAUUUUAAUCUAAAAAUUCAAAACAUGGUGGGCUUAGGAACUGAUAAUGCCAGAGUAAUGACUGGAGUUAGCCGUGGAGUGAUAGCAAAACUACGUGAAAAAUAUAAAAACAUAAUACCAGUUCCCUGUAUCUGUCAUUCCAUUCAGCUUUCAGUGUCUUCAGCAUCCAAAAUGCUACCUGAUGAAAUUGAGUAUUUGGUGUCAGAAACUUACAAAUGGUUUUCCAAAUCAACUUUAAGACACAAACAUUAUAAACGCAUUUACGCUGCGAUUAAUGAUGGCAUGCAACCAUUAAAAUUGGUAAGAGCUUGUGACACUAGAUGGUUGUCAAUUGAAUCAGCUGUAAAUCGUAUAGAAAGUCAAUGGCUAGAGUUGAAAACUCAUUUUGAAAUUGCCGAAACGGUAGAAUUGUGUCAUCAAGCCAAUAUAUUAAAAAAAUUGUAUACUGACAAAAAUUUAUUAUGUCUGAAGUUUUUGAAACCUUUGCUGUCAGAUGUACAAAAAGUAAAUAAAAUGUUUGAAAGUAAUAAUGCUGACCCUACUCUGUUGCUAUCAGAACUAUAUGUUCUUUUGAAAGACCUUUCCUAUCAAAUUGUUUUAAAAUCUGACAUUUUUGAUCCGUUCAAUUCGCGUUCAGAAGAUUUUUUUGUUCCAACACCAUACUUUAAUUACAACUUUGAAGAAUUUUUAAAAUCAAAGAAAGAUGUAAUCAAUUCUGAAGAAGAAAAUUAAAUAACGUUUACUUGCCGAAAGUUUAUAGCUCAGCUAAUAUAUCAGCUUAGACAACGAUUGCCAGAAAGAAACAAAACAAAGAAAACAGUUUAAAAACGGAAAAAAUUAAAUUGCAUGAACAUUUUGAACAACAAAUGGAAGAUUUCACAGUGGACGAAAUUACUAUUUUAGAAAAGCAAUGGCAAAAGCUAAGUACAUAUGAAUGGGCAAACAAAAACUCAACAAUUGAUUUCUGGAUAAGUGUAUACGAAUAUAAAAAUGCUUUAAAUGAAAACCCGUUCCAGGAAUUGUGUUCUUUUGUUAUGAAGUUUCUUGUUUUACCAUUUAGUAACGCAGAAGUUGAAAGAGUUUUCAGCGGCAUGAACCUUAUAAAAACAAAAAUUAGACAUAGAAUGAUAUUGAACACUAUGAAUUCACUUCUUUACAUUAGAUACGGAUUGAAAAGGUUAAAUAAAUGUUGCGAAAGUUUUAAAAUUACCAACGAUCUCAUACAAAAAUGUGAUAAAAACAUGUAUGAUAAUGAUAUUUCGACCGACUCUUCGGAAGUUGAGGAACAAUAUUCAUUGGAUAAUGUAUUUAGUUUAUAAUUAAAAUGUAUCAUUUGUAAACAAAUGAUAUUUAAAAAUGUACUAAAAUGCUAUUAAAUAGCGAUUUAAAUGUUUAUGUUAUUUUUUUAUAUAAAUAUACAUAUACAUAUGUAUGUAUGUACAAACCAA
rnacentral:lncRNA from 1 species